rnacentral:misc_RNA from 1 species
CGCAGCCGCGGUAAUUCCAGCUCCAAUAGCGUAUAUUAAAGUUGUUGCAGUUAAAAAGCUCGUAGUUGAAUUUCGGGACUAAUAUGUCGGUCGUGCCUCGGUACGUACUGGCUUAUUGGUUUCUCCUUUCUGAAGAACCAUGAUGUCAUUUAUUUGGUGUCGUGGGGAAUCAGGACUGUUACUUUGAAAAAAUUAGAGUGUUUAAAGCAGGCUCACGCUUGAAUACAUUAGCAUGGAAUAAUGAAAUAGGACGUUUGAUUCUAUUUUGUUGGUUUCUAGGAUCGACGUAAUGAUUAAUAGGGAUAGUUGGGGGCAUUAGUAUUCAAUUGUCAGAGGUGAAAUUCUUGGAUUUAUUGAAGACUAACUACUGCGAAAGCAUUUGCCAAGGAUGUUUUCAUUAAUCAAGAACGAAAGUUAGGGGAUCGAAGACGAUCAGAUACCGUCGUAGUCUUAACCAUAAACUAUGCCGACUAGGGAUCGGAUGAUGUUAAUUUUUAAUGACUCAUUCGGCGCCUUACGG